AAAAGUAUAAAAGGACAGAUAAAAUAUUUUAGUACACAUCGUCAGUCAUUAAUUAAUCUCUCUGCCAGUCGCUUCAGUGAAGUUAUAAUAUGCAGAAGACAAAGGUUUUGCUGUUGAUCCACUUGAUUUGUAUCGCAGUUCUUCCGAUCGUUAUCAGUGAUUAUAGAAAGUGUACGGAUGCAGAAGUACGUGGAAUUUGCAGACCGUAUUGCUUGGAUAGUAAAGUACCAAUUUGUAGAAGUGUAAAUCCGCCUUGUCGUUGUCCUGUUAAAUUUGUUAAUGUUCAAGAAACUAAAGUAUGACAAACUGUAAUUCUUUCAAACGAAUACACGACAUUCUCAAUCGAUGAAUAGUGAAUAAACAUCGUUCUGCGACAAAAUCUUGCAUUAAUUU